GACAAGAGGAGCGUGGCUGGAGCUGUGGCUUAGUAAGAAGUGUGUCUGAUUAGCAUGUCAACAUCCAGAGCCGAAUCUCCAGCACAGAGCAAAACUGGUAGAGAGAUACACAUCUGUAAUCCUGGUACUUGGAAAACAGAGAUGACCUAAGGAGAGAGAAUAUGAAUAUGUGGCUAUUUGGACUAGAUCAGUGCCUUCUCUCAUCAUCAUGCGAGAACCUUCCUCCAGCAGCAAAUUGGAACAGAUGCAAAGACCUACAGACCUGAAGAACGGGUGUAAACAGGAGCUCUCCAUCAAAUCCCUCCCCUCAGAGCUCAGAGAAUCCUGUGGAAGAGGAGGCAGAAAUAGUGUAAAAGCCAGAGGGGAUGGAGGACACCAGGAGAACACAGACCACUGAAUCAACCAAGCAAGGCACACAGAGCUCACAGAGACUGAAGCAGCAAGCGCAGGGCCUACACGGGACUGCACCAGGUCCUCUAAAGAUAUACUAUUGUUAUUAGCUUACUAUUUUUAUGAGAGUCCUGGCUGUGAGAAUAAGUAGGUCUCUGACUCUUAUGUCUGCUCUUGGGCCUUUACCUCCUGCUGAAUCGGCACAUCCCACUUAAACAUGGGAGUUUUUGCUUUGUCUUAUUCUAUUGGAUUUUGCCACACUUUGUCGUUAUCUCUUAAAAGCAUAUUCUCUUUUAAUGAGAGACAGAAAGGGAGUGGAUCCAGAGGGGAAGGGGAAGAAUGAGGGGAAAUUAUGAAUAGGAUAUAUCGUAUGAGGAAAAAAUAGCUAUUUUCAAUAAAAGAGAAAACGAAAAGAAGAAAA